AUUGAACGCUGGCGGCAGGCCUAACACAUGCACGUCGAGCGAGCGGCGGACGGGGGAGUAAUGUAUGGGAAACUGCCUGAUGGAGGGGGAUAACUACUGGAAACGGUAGCUAAUACCGCAUACCAUCAGAUGUGCCCAGAUGGGAUUGGCUCGUAGGUGGGGUAACGGCUCACCUAGGCGACGAUCCCUAGCUGGUCUGAGAGGAUGACCAGCCACAUUGGAACUGAGACACGGUCCAGACGCCGACGGGAGGCGGCAGUGGGGAAUAUGGAACAAUGGGCGUAAGCCGGGUGCAGCCAUGCCGCGUGUGUGAAGAAGGCCUUCGGGUGGUAAAGUACGUGCAGCGGGGAGGCGUUACCCGAAGAAGAAGCACUGGCUAACUCCGUGCCAGCAGCCGCGGUAAUAC
rnacentral:rRNA from 1 species